rnacentral:rRNA from 1 species
GACGAACGCUGGCGGCGUGCCUAAUACAUGCAAGUUGAGCGAUGAAGAUUGGUGCUUGCCCCAAUUUGAAGAGCAGCGAACGGGUGAGUAACGCGUGGGGAAUCUGCCUUUGAGCGGGGGACAACAUUUGGAAACGAAUGCUAAUACCGCAUAAUAACUUUAAACAUAAGUUUUAAGUUUGAAAGAUGCAAUUGCAUCACUCAAAGAUGAUCCCGCGUUGUAUUAGCUAGUUGGUGAGGUAAAGGCUCACCAAGGCGAUGAUACAUAGCCGACCUGAGAGGGUGAGCGGCCACAUUGGGACUGAGACACGGCCCAAACUCCUACGGGAGGCAGCGGUAGGGAAUCUUCGGCAAUGGACGAAAGUCUGACCGAGCAACGCCGCGUGAGUGAAGAAGGUUUUCGGAUCGUAAAACUCUGUUGGUAGAGAAGAACGUUGGUGAGAGUGGAAAGCUCAUCAAGUGACGGUAACUACCCAGAAAGGGACGGCUAACUACGUG